rnacentral:piRNA from 1 species
UGCAAACUUCUCCAAAGGUGCACCCCAAC